UCUAAAACUCCCUGACAGGAGGUUGCAGCAAGGCCACAGCUGGAACAUCCAGGAGAGUUUCUGGAGGAUGUGCAUUGCCACAACACCAAGGCCAUCACGGUAGAGGACAGCCACUGAAAAGACCAGUAACGCUCUCUGUGCUGCCCCACACCUUGCCUCUUCCUUCUGAUUCAGCUGCACCUGAUAGAUGUGCAACUAAGGGAGGUCCAAACGUGGAUGUCUAAAGCCACAUCUACCUGUUUAAUCCUGCGAUUUAAAGAGCUAAAAGUCAUCAUGGGAGCACAGCUUCUUUCAUUUGCAAUUGCUCACAGUACUGGACAUCCAG